AGCGAACGCUGGCGGUAUGCUUAACACAUGCAAGUCGAGCGCGAAAGUGACUUCGGUCAUAAGUAGAGCGGCGGACGGGUGAGUAACACGUGGAUAAUCUGCCUUUAGGACUGGGAUAACCCUGGGAAACUAGGGCUAAUACCGGAUAAGACCACAGGUUCCAUGGAACCAGGGGUAAAAGGCGGCCUUCGGGCUGUCGCCGAAAGAUGAGUCCGCGUCCCAUCAGGUAGUUGGUGAGGUAACGGCUCACCAAGCCGAAGACGGGUAGCCGACCUUAGCGGGUGAUCGGCCACACGGGGACUGAGACACGGCCCCGACUCCUACGGGAGGCAGCAGUGGGGAAUCUUGGGCAAUGGGGCGCAAGCCUGACCCAGCAAUACCGCGUGAGGGAUGAAGGCC
rnacentral:rRNA from 1 species